rnacentral:rRNA from 1 species
GAAUUCACUAGUGAUUGAAGUCGUACAAGGUUUCCGUAGGUGAACCUGCGGAAGGAUCAUUGAAUUAUUAAAACCACAAUGCGAACCUAUCUGUUCCGUGCCUUAGCUGCCAGCAAGGCAAUUGGCUUGCCCAAUUGUACUUGCAAGCUGGUGCGAGUAAUUUGAUUACUUGCAUCAGUGGCGCUUUGGCAUGCUUAUACACCAGUGCUAACCACUGUCAAAACCAAACCCUGAAGCUUUGAUUGCUAUUAACUGGCAAUCUUAACCAAAGACAACUCUCAACAACGGAUAUCUUGGCUCUCGCAACGAUGAAGAACGCAGCGAAAUGCGAUACGUAGUGUGAAUUGCAGAAUUCCGUGAACCAUCGAAUCUUUGAACGCAUAUUGCGCUCGAGCCCUCGGGCAAGAGCAUGUCUGCCUCAGCGUCGGUUUAUACCCUCACCCCUCUCUCCUUUUGGAGGGCUGGUCAGCUUCUAGUUGGCCUCAGGGAUGGAUCUGGCUUUCCCAAUUGGUUCACUCCGAUUGGGUUGGCUAAAGCUUAGAGGCUUAAGCAAGGACCCGAUAUGGGCUUCAACUGGAUAGGUAGCACCGGCUUCUGCCGACUACACGAAGUUGUGGCUUGUGGACUUUGCUAGAGGCCAAGCAGGAAACAUGCUUUGCAUGUCUUAAACUUUCGACCUGAGCUCAGGCAAGGCUACCCGCUGAACUUAAGCAUAUCAAUAAGCGGAGGAAAAGAAACUAACCA